rnacentral:hammerhead_ribozyme from 1 species
GCACUGCUGAGGAGUCCCAUAAUAGGACGAAACGAAUGUGCCGUGC